GCGGUCGUGGCGGAAUUGGUAGACGCGCAGCGUUGAGGUCGCUGUUCCCUAACCGGAGUGGAAGUUCGAGUCUUCUCGACCGCACCA
rnacentral:tRNA from 21 species